rnacentral:rRNA from 1 species
UCGAGAAUCAUUCACAAUGGGGGAAACCCUGAUGGUGCGACGCCGCGUGGGGGAAUGAAGGUCUUCGGAUUGUAAACCCCUGUCAUGUGGGAGCAAAUUAAAAAGAUAGUACCACAAGAGGAAGAGACGGCUAACUCUGUGCCAGCAGCCGCGGUAAUACAGAGGUCUCAAGCGUUGUUCGGAAUCACUGGGCGUAAAGCGUGCGUAGGCGGUUUCGUAAGUCGUGUGUGAAAGGCGGGGGCUCAACCCGCGGACUGCACAUGAUACUGCGAGACUAGAGUAAUGGAGGGGGAACCGGAAUUCUCGGUGUAGCAGUGAAAUGCGUAGAUAUCGAGAGGAACACUCGUGGCGAAGGCGGGUUCCUGGACAUUAACUGACGCUGAGGCACGAAGGCCAGGGGAGCGAAAGGG